rnacentral:rRNA from 1 species
GACGAACGCUGGCGGCGUGCUUAACACAUGCAAGUCGAACGGAAAGGCCCUGCUUUUGUGGGGUGCUCGAGUGGCGAACGGGUGAGUAACACGUGAGUAACCUGCCCUUGACUUUGGGAUAACUUCAGGAAACUGGGGCUAAUACCGGAUAGGAGCUCCUGCUGCAUGGUGGGGGUUGGAAAGUUACGGCGGUUGGGGAUGGACUCGCGGCUUAUCAGCUUGUUGGUGGGGUAGUGGCUUACCAAGGCUUUGACGGGUAGCCGGCCUGAGAGGGUGACCGGGCACAUAGGGACUGGGAUAGGGCCAGGAGGCAAACGGGAGGCAGGAGCGGGAAUAUUGCACAAUGGGCGGAAGCCUGAUGCAGCGACGCCGCGUGCGGGAUGACGGCCUUCGGGUUGUAAACCGCUUUCGCCUGUGACGAAGCGUGAGUGACGGUAAUGGGUAAAGAAGCACCGGCUAACUACGUG